rnacentral:rRNA from 1 species
CUACGGGAGGCAGCAGUGGGGAAUCUUGCGCAAUGGACGAAAGUCUGACGCAGCGACGCCGCGUGCGGGAUGACGGCCCUAGGGUUGUAAACCGCUUUCAGCAGGGACGAAAUUGACGGUACCUGCAGAAGAAGCCCCGGCCAACUACGUGCCAGCAGCCGCGGUAAUACGUAGGGGGCUAGCGUUGUCCGGAUUUAUUGGGCGUAAAGAGCUCGUAGGCGGUUUGGUAAGUCGGGUGUGAAAACUCCAGGCUCAACCUGGAGAGGCCACCCGAUACUGCCCUGACUCGAGUCCGGCAGAGGAGUGUGGAAUUCCCAGUGUAGCGGUGAAAUGCGCAGAUAUUGGGAGGAACACCGGUAGCGAAGGCGGCACUCUGGGCCGGUACUGACGCUGAGGAGCGAAAGCGUGGGGAGCAAACAGGAUUAGAAACCCCGGUAGUCC